AUUGAACGCUGGCGGAAUGCUUUACACAUGCAAGUCGAGCGGCAGCACGGGGGCAACCCUGGUGGCGAGCGGCGAACGGGUGAGUAAUACAUCGGAACAUGCCCAGUCGUGGGGGAUAACACUUCGAAAGAAGUGCUAAUACCGCAUACGUCCUGAGGGAGAAAGCGGGGGAUCUUCGGACCUCGCGCGAUUGGAGUGGCCGAUGUCAGAUUAGCUAGUUGGUGGGGUAAAGGCCUACCAAGGCAACGAUCUGUAGCUGGUCUGAGAGGAUGAUCAGCCACACUGGGACUGAGACACGGCCCAGACGCCUACGGGAGGCAGCAGUGGGGAAUUUUGGACAAUGGGGGCAACCCUGAGCCAGCCAUUCCGCGUGAGUGAAGAAGGCCUUCGGGUUGUAAAGCUCUUUCGGCAGGAACGAAACGGCGAGCUCUAACAUAGCUUGCUAAUGACGGUACCUGAAGAAGAAGCACCGGCUAACUACGUGCCAGCCGCCGCCGCGGUAA
rnacentral:rRNA from 1 species